GGGGACCCGGGAACUCGUGCCAAGUGACUGGUGCUCGCUUUAGGCUCCUGCUACCUUCUGCGGGCGGAACGUGGGUGUCCCGGGAAGGGACGGACCCCAUCUCUACUAUGCCGCAAGCGCGUUGUGUCAACAGGCUGGCUGUGGACGGCCCGAUGAGCGUUACUUGAUUUUGUACUUUCGGCCACCUCCAAUUUUCUCAGAACGCAACAUAAGAAAAAAAAACUAACAGCAGUGUGUGCAGGAGAGCUUCGAAAAUAUGGGUGCUGAUGUUUGGUCACUGCUAUGGGGGAGGUCGCAGAGCUGAGAGUUGUCGGAGGACGUUUUCUGUCCUGUCUAGGAUUCUGGAAUUGAACCUGGGUUCCCACGCUUGUGCAGCCGUGUCUCCCCAGCCCCCGUUAAUACUGUGUCUGAAGUAGCCGCUCUUCUGAAGUCAGCUCUGCCUUCUACUUGACACGCCUUCCCUUACUCACUUCUCAUUUCAUUUUCUUACUGCGUUUGCCUCCAUUCAGUGUUGAUAUUUUAAAAUUGAAAUCUGUUAUUAUUUUGUCAUGUAGCCCAGGCUGGCCAAGAUCUUGCCUCCCUUUAAGCUUAUUUUAGGAAAAUUAUGCUUACUUGUAGGGUGCUUGUGACAGUGUCACCCAUACACACACUGUAUGACAUUAGAUUAUGCUAAGCCUGCCAUCUCUAUAAAUUCUUAGUUGUGAAACUCAAA
ensembl:lincRNA 2210406O10Rik RIKEN cDNA 2210406O10 gene